GUUGCUUGGGAAUCUUGUUAAAAUGCAGAUUAUGAUUCAUUAGGUCUGGGGGGAGCCCAAGAUUCUGCAUUUCUAACAAGCACUCUGGUGAUGCCAA
rnacentral:pre_miRNA from 1 species